AGUGAACGCUGGCGGCGUGCCUAAUACAUGCAAGUCGCACGGUGUGGCGCACGGGUGAGUAAUGUAUAGCUAAUCUGCCCUACACUAGAGGACAACAGUUGGUAACGGCUGCUAAUACUCUACAGUGUAGGAUGAGGGUAUAUUGUAUCAGCUAGUUGGUGAGGUAAUGGCUCACCAAGGGUAUGACGCAUAACUGGUCUGAGAGGAUGAGCAGUACACCUGGAAGUGAGACACGGUCCGGACUCCUACGGGAGGCAGCAGUAGGGAAUAUUGCUCCAUGGGGGAAGCCCUGACGCAGCGACGCCGCGUGGAGGAUGACACUUUUCGGAGCGUAAACUCCUUUUGUUAGGGAAGCGGUACCUAACGAAUAAGCAACGGCUAACUCCGUGCCAGCAGCCGCGGUAAUUC
rnacentral:rRNA from 1 species